rnacentral:rRNA from 1 species
UACGAAGGGGGCUAGCGUUGUUCGGAAUCACUGGGCGUAAAGCGCACGUAGGCGGAUUGUUAAGUCGGGGGUGAAAUCCCUCGGCUCAACCAAGGAAGUGCAUCCGAAACUGCUGAGCUUGAGUACGAAAGAGGAUCGCGGAAUUCCCGGUGUAGAGGUGAAAUUCGUAGAUAUCGGGAGGAACACCAGUGGCGAAGGCGGCGAUCUGGGUCGAUACUGACGCUGAGGUGCGAAAGCGUGGGGGGCAAACAGG